rnacentral:rRNA from 1 species
UACGUAGGGGCCUAGCGUUGUCCGGAUUUAUUGGGCGUAAAGAGCUCGUAGGCGGUUCGGCAAGUCGGAUGUGAAAUCCCGAGGCUCAACCUCGGGUCUGCAGUCGAUACGGGCAAACUAGAGUAUUGCAGGGGAGACUGGAAUUCCUGGUGUAGCGGUGAAAUGCGUAGAUAUUGGGAGGAACACCGGUGGCGAAAGCGGCUUACUGGGUCUCUUCUGACGCUGAGGAACGAAAGCUAGGGUAGCGAACGGG